UGCCCAGCAACUCCUAUUCCUACCUCCGCGUGGCACCGGUCGGGCUGUGAGCAACCUUAGGGAAGAUCGGGUAACCAAUGCCGGUGGGAACUUUGGUCGUAGGCUGACAGGGAAGG
rfam:Aedes albopictus isolate Foshan contig32101, whole genome shotgun sequence.